rnacentral:rRNA from 1 species
AUACGGAGGACGCGAGCGUUAUCCGGAUUCAUUGGGUUUAAAGGGUGCGCAGGCGGCCGUGCAAGUCAGCGGUGAAAGCCCGGGGCUCAACCCCGGAAGUGCCGUUGAUACUGCAUGGCUGGAAUGCGGUCGAGGCGGGCGGAGCGCGGGGGGUGGCGGUGGAAUGCGUAGAUAUGCCACAGAACGCCGAUAGCGGAGGCAGCUCGCCAGGCCUGCAUUGACGCUCGGGCACGAAAGCGUGGGGAUCGAACAGGAUUAGAUACCCUGGUAGUCCACGCCGUAAACGAUGGGCGCUCGUCGUCGGCGGCAGACAGUCGGCGGCCAAGCGAAAGCGAUAAGCGCCCCACCUGGGGAGUACGGUCGCAAGGCUGAAACUAAAAGGAAUUGACGGGG